rnacentral:misc_RNA from 1 species
ACAGACAGACAGACGCAUAUACAUACACACGUGCACGUAUACGUCCAUCAUCCUCGGGGAGUCUGUGAGACGUCGCAGACACCACCACCACCGUCGCCAGCAGAGGUGAGUGCGCCUACGCUUCUUGCUGCUCCUUUGCCGCGGUGGACGUCUCGGCUCAUCUCGCUCGCCUCAUCCGACGCACACAGAGGCAAGUGUGCGUCUGCGUGUGUGGUUGUGUAUGCUGUCAGCGAGAAGACAAGCGGAAGUUGUUCUCGUGUAUGUUUUCUCUCCCUCCCCCGAGUGGUUCUCGAGCAUCUCACCAGCAGUCCUACCCCCUUCCCUCGGUGCGUGGCUCUCCAGUAGUCCCUCCCCCCGCCCCUCCCCCCUCAGCAGGUGCGUGCGGUUCUCUUCUUUCGUCUCUUCUCUACCACCGGCGAGCGUCGCACAGCACACAACCAGCUCGAUCGGCAGGGGACGAUGGAGAACGAGGAGGCGCUCCCGACGAUCGUCACUCCGGGCCCGGAGCUGCGGGAGAAGGUGGAUGCCUUCGCCGCGCGCCUCAGCGCCUUGGAUCGGCGCAAGGCGGAUGAGAUGGUGGCUAAGCUGCUCGCCUCGAGCAAGCGUAAUCAGUUCCUUUUCGUGGACACGUCGCACAUAUUUUACCCCUACUUUCUUAGCAAGCUGACGGAGUUUCGCCAGCACCCGGAGCUGCGGCCGCAGAAGCCGGGUGAGCACAAGGACAGAGACGGCGCGGCAGGCAGCGAUAAGGGGGCGGCGACGAUGACGAAGGUUGGCACCAUCACUCGCACGAUGGGCGGUACCGCCGGCGCCAAGAGCGACCCGCAGCGCGAGGAGCUGCUGCGUCAGACCGAGGCAGAGGCUCGUCGAUACCUCGAGGAUCCGUUUCCGAACCACUACUCUUUGGAUCGGAAGGCCGGCACCGUGGAUGUGACGGCCCUGCUGAUGGACGUGCUGUCGACGACAGCUCAAUACACCGCCAAGUACGGCGACAGGUUCCUCGCUGCCGUACAGAGCAAGCAGCGACACAACCCCAUGUUCCACUUUCUCCACGAGGACGACGUGCGACACGACAUGUUCCGCAAGCUCGUCGAGUCCUACCGUCGCAUCUUGGCCUUUGAUGAGGAGGAGACGGAGACGCGGCUGGAGAACUUGGAGUCGCAGUCGUACCUACUGGGCACAGUAUGCGAGGAGAAGAAGAAGUAUGCCAAGGCUGCCCUGGCUCGCCGACGAGCCGCGCUGCUGACGGAUGAGGAGCUGCGCGGGCGUCUGCAGUGGACGCUUUUCUCGGUGGUCAAGACAUUUCGGUUGAGCGACUUGCAGCUGGAUGGGCCGGUGCCCGAGACAGCAGCGUCGAAGCAGCACGCAGCCCAGGCAGCGAAUGCGAAUUUCAUUUCACCUGCGCUCACCUCGACGUCCAAGCCGUGUGCAACGGGAGCGGAGGCUCCUCCAUCUGUGCCCCCUGCUGCUGCUGCAAGCGGCGGGCUAACCACUGCCCGUGCCAAUACCCUGCUGCACCCUCCUGGUGUGGCAUCGCCGUCGUUUGCACCGGUGUAUAUGAGCUCCACCCUGGUGAAGGGCACCGGGAGCAACGGAAAGCGACCGCGAGAGCGAGGCGGGCCGAGGGAGGCUCAGGGACAAAGUUGAGUGCUGUCUCCCUCGCCGCAUCUCCUCUCGUCGAAGAGAGGGUGAGGGGGUGGGGACAUGACGGGAUAGAGGGAGAGAGUACGCGCGUGCCUGCGCCGCUUGUCGAGUUGUCAUAUGGAGUAAGUGAGUGUCUGUGCGCGUGAGUCUGGAGCUUCCUGUCCCACUCUGGUCUUGAAAUCCUAAAAAACACACACGCAUACACACACAUAGGCAAAAGGAAGGACACCCUCACUGUGGCAUCCGAAGGUACAGCGCACCCUUUUCCCUCCCGGUGCGAGCGUGCGUCGCCUUUACCUAUUUUCCUCACACCAUCCAGCGUGCUGAUGAAAAGGUUGGGGCCGCCUCCGGGCGUGGUACAUCAUGGCCGCGUGCACCCCCCUCCAUCCUCUCUGCGGGGAAGCCAGGCAGCCCCUCCCCCUAUCCCUGUCAGUGCCGGACCACCCCUCGUGGUGCCAGGGUCAGGUACCUACGACGUAGCGAAGUCAGAGCGAUUUAUCGCUACGGGUGUCGGCGGUCAUGUCCUGGAUGGCGCUGCGUGGGGGAGGCCUGCAGCUGUGAAGGUGUUUGUGCGAACCAUAUGAUGGGCAGUAUGCCGCCCUGACCCGAACGUAUCUCACCCGGCCCUCACCGCGCCCUGACUCGGGGAGCCCGAGGCGCCCGGAGGGAUGCGCGACGUGGCGACCGGGCACAAGGCGAGCGGCCGUGAGGGGCGACCUUGCGGGGCGGGGAGGGCGGGUAGAGGGUCUGGGGCGGAGGCCGCGCUUCGCUGACUGGGUCGGCGCAUUUCUGCAGCGGCGCGUGUCU